GCGUAAUAGCUCACUGGUCGAGCGUCUCUGCGCGGAAAAUUUAACGGGGCUAAGAUACAAACCGAAGCUUAGGCUGCAUACGAAAGUAUGCGGGGUAGGGGAGCGUUGUGUAAGCGGAGAAACAGUAGCGAAAGCGGCUGUGGAGUUUACAGAAGUGAGAAUGCCGGAAUGAGUAGCGCGAAUGAUGUGAGAAUCAUCAUGGCCGGAAACCUCAGGUUUUUGGAGGAAGGUUCGUCCGCUCCAAGUUAGGCGGGAGCUAAGGUGAGGCCGAAAGGCGUAGCCGAUGCACAGACGGUAGAGAUUCCGUCCCCACCGAAAGAUUUAAGCGCAGGGACACUUUUAGAAGGUCGGAGCCAGGUGUUGGUUCUGGUAGAGAUCGAGGGAAAUUUAGUACCGAAGUCCGGCUGGAUAAGAGGCGAGAAAAGCUGCGUGUAUAUCUAAGGUGCCCGUACCGCAAACCGACACAGGUAGGUAGGAAGAAGAUUCUAAGGCCAACGGGAGAAGGGUUGUUAAGGAACUCGGCAAAUUGACCCCGUAACUUCGGGAGAAGGGGUGCUCCAGAGAUGGAGCCGCAGAGAAUCGGCCCAAGCAACUGUUUACCAAAAACACAGGUUUGUGCUAAAUCGAAAGAUGACGUAUACGAGCUGACGCCUGCCCGGUGCUGGAAGGUUAAGAGGAGAUGUGCAAGCAUUGAAUCGAAGCCCCAGUGAACGGCGGCCGUAACUAUAACGGUCCUAAGGUAGCGAAAUUCCUUGUCAGGUAAGUUCUGACCCGCAUGAAAGGCGUAAUGAUCUGGGCACUGUCUCAACAGCCCGCCCGGCGAAAUUGUAGUACCGGUGAAGAUGCCGGUUACCCGCGACAAGACGGAAAGACCCCAUGGAGCUUUACUGUAGCCUAAUAUUGGGUUUCGAUGUUGCAUGCACAGGAUAGAUGGGACACAGGGAAACAAGUGCUUUGGCAUUUGUGGAGUGGCCGUUGGGAUACCAUCCUUGCGAUAUUGGAAUUCUAACCUGCGCCUUUGAAUCAAGGCGGGGGACAUUGUUAGGUGGGCAGUUUGACUGGGGCGGUCGCCUCCUAAAGAGUAGCGGAGGCGUUCAAAGGUUGGCUCGUCCUGGACGGAAACCAGGAGAGAGAGUGCAAACGCAAAAGCCAGCCUGACUGCGAGACUGACGGGUCGAGCAGAGACGAAAGUCGGAGUUAGUGAUCCGGUGGUAUGUGAGUGGAAAUGCCAUCGCUCAACGGAUAAAAGUUACCCUGGGGAUAACAGGCUGAUCUCCCCCAAGAGUCCACAUCGACGGGGAGGUUUGGCACCUCGAUGUCGGCUCAUCGCAUCCUGGGGCUGUAUUCGGUCCCAAGGGUUUGGCUGUUCGCCAAUUAAAGCGGUACGCGAGCUGGGUUCAGAACGUCGUGAGACAGUUCGGUCCCUAUCUGUCGUGGGCGCAGGAUAUUUGAAAGGCGCUGUCCCUAGUACGAGAGGACCGGGAUGGACGAACCUCUGGUGCACCAGUUGUCACGCCAGUGGCACAGCUGGGCAGCUAUGUUCGGAUCGGAUAAACGCUGAAAGCAUCUAAGCGUGAAGCCGGCCUUAAGAUAAGAUAUCCCACUGAGUCAAUCAGGUAAGACCCCUUGAAGACUACAAGGUUGAUAGGCACACAGUGUAAGCGGAGUGAUCCGUUCAGCUAGCGUGUACUAAUAGGUCGAGGGCUUGACCC
rnacentral:rRNA from 1 species